AAUUAAUCUUUGAAUUCACUUUACUUUACGUAUCUAAUUUUGUCCUUAGCGCUGUAAUUUAAAGUCAACAUGCGGAAAUCUAUUAUAUUUAUUCUUUGCAUUGUCGCUAUGUCGUACAUAACUGAGGCGAAACCAGCUUGUGGUUAUUGGGGCUGCAGUGGUACAAUUAAUAACAUCGGAAAUGGCAGAAGGAACAACAACACAAUAUAUAUGAGAAGCGGUAGUCGGGGUGGUAAUGGCGGCGGUUAUGAAGGUGGUAACCGUGGCGGUUACAACGGCUAUGGUGCAGGCGGUAACGGUGACGGUUACGGCGGAGGUUACGGCGGAGGAUACGGCGGUGGUGGUGGCGGUGGUUACGCCGGUGGUGGUGGCGGUGGUUACGGCGGUGAUUACGGCGGUGGUUACGGUGGUGGUUACGGCGGUGGUUACGGCGGUGGUUACGGUGGUGGUUAUGGCGAUGGUAACGGCGGUGGCAACGGUGGCAGUAACAGCGGUAAUAAUGGUGGCGAUUAUGGUGGCGGAUUCGGUGGUGAUUAUGGUGGUAAUAACGACGAUGAGUACGACGAAGGAUGUUCCGGCGGCAACUGCGGGGGAAGUACCAUAAAUAAUGUCGGAAACGGACGGGGAAACAUUAACGACGUACAUAUGAAACCGGGAAGAACAGGUUGUUGGGGCGGAAACUGCGGUGGUCGCAGGGAAAACAACAUUGGAAAUGGUCGAAACAAUAACAACGUAGUUGAUGGAUUAGUUUCUACGAAUACGGUCUCAUCUCUCCUGAGAACACAUAGUGAAAGUGUAAUUAAAUAAUUCAAUAUGCAGAAGGCUGUAUUAUUUACUCUUUGCAUUUUGGCAAUGUUGACAACAAUAGAGGCAAAGCCUUCAUGCUGGUGUGUUGGUCAUUUGAAUUUCUGUGAUGAUAGGAAAUACAUUAUUGUCGAAAACAGAAAAUAUUGCAAAACAACGACUAUCAAAAAAUAUUUUUCCAGAAAAGACAACAGACGUGGUAUGUGAACCUUUUAAAACAUACGUAAUAAAAAAACCGCGAAAUGUAUGCCUACAUGUAGAUUGAGUUCGCAUUUAAAACACCGAACUAUUUAUCAUCAUCUGUGUUUUAUAAGUAUUCAUAUAUAUUAUUCUUAAAAUUAUUCAUCAGUGAUCUUAGUACCCAUAACACAAGGUACGCUUACUUUGGGGCUAUACGACUAUGUGUGUAUUGUCGUAUAUACUAUAUAGAACUAUAGUAUAUUUAUUUUAUUUCUUUAAUUUAAUUGGUAGCUAGAGGAUUAUUGCUAUUACUUUUCAAUAAAAAGGUGCAGCAGAAGCCUAAAAAUCGGUUGAAAUAAAACUGAGUUUGUUUAAAAUCUUUCAUUCCUUAUACCGGAAGAGCCCUAUGGUUUUUGGGAAAAAAAUAGCUUUGAUGUUCACCCGGAGUAUCAGUUCGCGCACUUCACGGAAACUACUGAUCGA